GAUGAACGCUGGCGGCGUGCCUAAUACAUGCAAGUCGAGCGAACAGAUGAGGAGCUUGCUCCUCUGACGUUAGCGGCGGACGGGUGGGUAACACGUGGAUAACCUACCUAUAAGACUGGGAUAACUUCGGGAAACCGGAGCUAAUACCGGAUAAUAUAUUGAACCGCAUGGUUCAAUAGUGAAAGACGGUUUUGCUGUCACUUAUAGAUGGAUCCGCGCCGCAUUAGCUAGUUGGUAAGGUAACGGCUUACCAAGGCAACGAUGCGUAGCCGACCUGAGAGGGUGAUCGGCCACACUGGAACUGAGACACGGUCCAGACUCCUACGGGAGGCAGCAGUAGGGAAUCUUCCGCAAAGGGCGAAAGCCUGACGGAGCAACGCCGCGUGAGUGAUGAAGGUCUUCGGAUCGUAAAACUCUGUUAUUAGGGAAGAACAAAUGUGUAAGUAACUAUGCACGUCUUGACGGUACCUAAUCAGAAAGCCACGGCUAACUACGUG
rnacentral:rRNA from 1 species